GGUUGAAGGUUGGGUAACAGUAACUCGAGGACCGAACGGACUAAUGUUGAAAAGUUAGCGGAUGACUUGAGGCUGGGGGUGACAAGCCAAGCACAGCGGGAGAAAGAAGGAUGUCACCGAACGCUGUUUAGGUAUUGCCUCGUGAAUUUAUCUGCGGGGGUAGUGAACUGUUUCGGCUGGGGGGUCAUCCCGACUUACCUACCCGAUGCCAA
rnacentral:rRNA from 1 species